GGGGUAUGAAUACUUUUGCAAACCACUGUAUGUGUCAGGUAGCUUCAGUGUGAUUCAGCUUAUGUUCACCUGGCUGCUGAGAGCUGCUUUCCCUUGUCUAGUUGGUUCUAAUAGUGCAUACUAUAAAUAGUUACUUUAGCCUAACCAGUCUUUUGUGUUCUCCUUCACUUGCAACAACUCCUGACAUUUCAAUCAACUUACCCCUUCCCUGACAAUGAAUCAUCAUGUGGAGGAUUUUCUGUGUUUUGAGUCUGGAUUGUGUCUGUGUGCCUCACAAAUCAAAUCUUUGAAGAGUACAACGAUCAAAGCUGAUAGUGCUCCAAUGAAAUGGCUGGUUUGCGUCACACCGUGGCCAUUUUUCUGCAACAUGAAAAACUGGCUUGGAAUCAUGCAGUGUGAAGUCAUUUGCUAAGGCCUCAGAUGUUGAGCCAAAAAAAGGGCGAGAAAACAGUGUGGUCCAACCUCUACAGCUUAUUAUGAUUUACAGGAAGAGAAAAAUCGUGAAUAUUUCCUUGUUUUGAAUAAUUAUGAUUGAACACAUGAACAAGAUGUGAGAAAACUACACAUUUGGUCACAAUUAAAGUAAAAUGUUUAUUUGUUUUUUACAGCAAAAAAAAUUCCACAAAACAAGGAAAGCUUAUUUUAUUUCUUAGUUUUUAAGGUCCUAAAUUGUUAAAAAAAAAUGUGCAUAGUUUCAUGUUUUAGCAAAGAUUUGCUGCCCUGAAUUGUAUGAUUACAUUGAUUAUAAUGAUUUAAGAAAUCAUUAUACUAUUAAUGAGAUAAAACCUGUAAUUUGCCUUCUCCACAGAUUCUGAAGAUAUCAUACAACCUUCUCUGUUAACUCCUGUUGCUGUUCUUCACCCAUCCCCAAAGGUUGAUACACAUAUAGUGAAUAUAUCAGGAGAGGUAACAGGUUAAAAAAAUAAUAAUUGAAAGUGGUUUGGCUGCAGAAUUUAAGAAUAACUGACUUCAUUUUCAGUGCACAGAGCAAUAUUAGAAAUAAAAACAAUUCUAACAUUGGCAUUAAUCCAAAAUUGUCUUGUCAUUGUACAGCAGUGCAUGACCAAAACUGACCAUCUUCCACUGAACAGUGCACGUAAAUGCAUAAAAAAUUAACAGAAUCAAAUACAGCAAGUAAAUAGUUAAAUGGUAUUAAAAAUGCUUAGACUCAGUUAAGAAUAUCAUUAAGUCUGGGUUGUAUUAAUAAUGCUGAGUUUAUUUGUUCGUGCUGUAAAUGUUCUUUCUCUGCUUGAUGGUUCAACCCACUUUAAAUCUAAUCAGUAAAGUUCAUAUCUGUGUAUUUAAUCAGAUUUCGUUUUCAAUUGUGCUUUUGAUGUCCAACGGGUUGGAAAAGCAAACUUACCACAUUAUUGUACUGCAUUCCAUUUGGUGACAAAAAGAAUGCCUUUGGUCAACAGGGCUUUGAAGUGUAAAAACAAGAACAACAGAUAAUUCUUUUUUCCCAUAAAAUUAAGAUAUGCAUAACGUUUUCCAAGUCCUCAGUAUUUUCAGCUAACUGAAUCUAAAAUAUUGACCAAAAUAUUAGUGAUUGUGAUCUUAGCCUCCUUACCCACAUCUAACACUUCAUAUAAAAUAUGUGUUAAAAUGAAAGUUAAAACCAGUUGCAGCUGAUUCAUGCAUGGAGUUGGUGCUGUGUGCAUUUCACAAGAACAGGAUGUGUGAUGUCAGCGAGCUUACGACUCUGGUGCAGGAAAUCAGUCUGCACUCAUCCAGCGUUUUCAGUUAUCAUUGCUGUUAGACAAACAUAGACUUUUAUCUUUUUCACAAACUGAUUUCUUAUCAGAUUUCUGCCUCAUUAUCUUUGUUUUCCUGUCAAACUGAAUGAAAUGUGGUUGAGAACAAAAAAGGGGAUGGUGGCAUCCAGCUGGCUUUGACUCUGGAUCACAUGAUCCCCUCCCACCACUUUUGUGUUACCCUCCUAUCAUCAACUUUAGCAUUCUAACAUGUUGUGGCAUUUGUGACCUUUUUUCCUCUUUCUAUUAUUUUUACUCUCUUUUCCUACUUAGGGUCUUAUUGUCAUUUUUAUUUAUUUAUUUAUUUUUUGGAUUGAUUGAUUUACUUGUUACUUUCGUUUUUGUCUUUUAUGAGUUUCUACAUUUCCAGUUCAUGGUAUGUGUGUUAUUUUGAGUUUCUAUACACACGCCUUAUUCCUUCCCUCCAGGAGUCCAGAUUUAUCAUCAAACUUCUCUCCCGAKGCAGGUUUGUGCAACAUUGCUUUUAUAACCUGCGCAACCAAGGAGCUGAAAAAGAACAGUGGRGGAGAGAAACCUACAAGAAGAGCCUCAGUUUUAUAAGGAAGUGUGCUCCAGAUCAGUGUGCUGCACAGCUGACUGACAGCUGUCCCACCCAGAGUACCUGAGUAGACGUUGUGCUUUUACAGGAAGUUGAGUGUGACAAUGCAGCAGUCGGAACUAAAAGUCAUUCCUCUGCAGUGGAUUUCCCAAUAACACGUCAGAUUAUUGCUAUAAGUCACACAAGUUCGUUUUUUGUUUUUCACAAAUGUGGGAAGUUUCUGCUGACCGUGUGGGGACAUUCAUACAUGGAUGAACAUUGUUAAAAUGUGAUAACAGUGUAUGCUGUCAUAAAAUCAGUUUUAAAAACA